GACGAACGCUGGCGGCGUGCUUAACACAUGCAAGUCGAGCGAGGCCCAUUCUUCGGGGUGGUGCCCUAGCGGCGAACGGGUGAGUAACACGUGGGCAACCUGCCCUCAGCUCUGGGAUAACUCCAAGAAAUUGGUGCUAAUACCGGAUGUGACCGCUGACCGCAUGGUCUGGUGGUGGAAAGAACUAUCGGCUGAGGAUGGGCCCGCGGCCUAUCAGCUUGUUGGUGGGGCACGGCCCACCAAGGCGACGACGGGUAGCCGGCCUGAGAGGGUGACCGGCCACACUGGGACUGAGACACGGCCCAGACUCCUACGGGAGGCAGCAGUGGGGAAUAUUGCGCAAUGGGCGAAAGCCUGACGCAGCGACGCCGCGUGAGGGAUGACGGCCUCGG
rnacentral:rRNA from 1 species